UUUCUCUCAGUCCUGAGAAAGAGGGAGUCCCUGAAGAAGUCCUUCAACAAACUCAGACUCAUCAGCUUUUAUUAGGAGAUCAUAUUCAGAGUGCAGAACUUCCCCAGAGUCUAACUGGACCUGAUGGACACAGUGGUCAGCAGCAGCUGGUGUGCUGUUGAAGUGAUCCACUAUGGAGUCUGACUCCGAGGUCAAAGAUGUUCCCAAUCUAAAAACAGCAUAAAUGUUGUGACUGGCAGCGCUGUUACUGACCAGCCUGACCACCCAGCCCUCUACACACUGAGCUCCACCAGCUCAGAGGACUGUAUGCUGUGCACUUCAUCUCUGGCUAAGCCUUAUUUCUAGUAUAUGUAAAUAUUUAUACUGUAACUGUUUAUUUAAGAUGUUACCUGAACGUUAUGCUGCUCCUCUGUACCUGCACUGUGGACUUUAUAUACUGACCACUGUUUACACCACUAGCACUUCUGCAUUUACUGGACUGCAGUUCACCAGCACAUUUCUGUCUCUAUACCUGAUACACUUGAAUAUCUGACUAUGCACUAACUGUCUAUACGUCCAGGACACCUAUAACACUCGCCUACGCACAUCUUGUCUACGUUCAACACCUGAACCUACUGACCGCACAUUCUGUCUGUCUUUUACUGUCUUUAGUCUCUGCCCUGUUUACUAUGCAUCUCUUAUUACUGUACUGGAAAAGUCGCCCCAUAGUGUUUCAUUAUACUGUACUACCCUGUAUUGUACAAUGACAAUAAAGUUGAACUGAAUUGAA